rnacentral:rRNA from 1 species
AUGGGGGCCGAGGAAGGCGAGAAGAAGAUGAUCACGCUCAAGAGCUCGGACGGUGAGGAAUUUCCGGUUGAGGAGGCGGUCGCCAUGGAGUCGCAGACAAUCCGCCACACGAUCGAGGACGACUGCACCGACAACAACAUCCCAUUCCCCAAUGUCGACUCCAAGUUCCUCUCCAAGGUCAUCGAGUACUACAAGAAACACGUCCGCUGA